GGGGAAUAUUGGACAAUGGGCGCAAGCCUGAUCCAGCCAUGCCGCGUGAGUGAAGAAGGCCUUAGGGUUGUAAAGCUCUUUCACCCGCGAACAUGAUGACGGUAGCGGGAGAAGAAGCCCCGGCUAACUCCGUGCCAGCAGCCGCGGUAAUACGGAGGGGGCAAGCGUUGUUCGGAUUUACUGGGCGUAAAGGGCGCGUAGGCGGAUGUUCGCGUCAGAGGUGAAAGCCCCGGGCUCAACCUUGGAACUGCCUUUGAAACGGGACAUCUUGAGUUCGGAAGAGGGUAGCGGAAUUCCCAGUGUAGAGGUGAAAUUCGUAGAUAUUGGGAAGAACACCAGUAGCGAAGGCGGCUACCUGGUCCGACACUGACGCUGAGGCGCGAAAGCGUGGGGAGCAAAC
rnacentral:rRNA from 1 species